UAGUGGCGAACGGGUGAGUAACACGUGGGCAAUCUGCCCUUCACUCUGGGACAAGCCCUGGAAACGGGGUCUAAUACCGGAUAACACUUACCUCCUCCUGGGGGUGGGUUAAAAGCUCCGGCGGUGAAGGAUGAGCCCGCGGCCUAUCAGCUUGUUGGUGGGGUAAUGGCCUACCAAGGCGACGACGGGUAGCCGGCCUGAGAGGGCGACCGGCCACACUGGGACUGAGACACGGCCCAGACUCCUACGGGAGGCAGCAGUGGGGAAUAUUGCACAAUGGGCGAAAGCCUGAUGCAGCGACGCCGCGUGAGGGAUGACGGCCUUCGGGUUGUAAACCUCUUUCAGCAGGGAAGAAGCGCAAGUGACGGUACCUGCAGAAGAAGCACCGGCUAACUACGUGCCAGCAGCCGCGGUAAUACGUAGGGUGCGAGCGUUGUCCGGAAUUAUUGGGCGUAAAGAGCUCGUAGGCGA
rnacentral:rRNA from 1 species